CAUGCUGAGCAUUUAAUCCUUCUGUGUGCUUCUCAAUGAAGUAAGAAGGUGGCCCAUGCUUGAAACAGGUAGUCAUCAGACCACUGAGGCGGGCAGCUGUAGCUUUGUUCAUGCUGGUGCUCAGUGGGUGCCAAAGUUCUGCAGGAUCAGAGCCAAUAUUUACAGCUCCAAUCCACUGCAUAGCCUUUUUUCAGUUCUUGAUUCUUCACAGGUGCUCUCCCCCUGCCCAGUGUUCUGCAGACUGUGAAAGAAAUUGAAGGUAUUAUGGUUAGACACUAAAUACAUCAUGAAGAUUAACUUGAUAAAUGGUCAAUUCUGGCCUCAUGCUUGAAAUUUAAGUCAAUUGUCUGGAUGAAACAUGCAAAUCCCUGUAUAACAGACAUUUAUCUCUGUUCAGACUUUUCAGUGCUCUGAGCAAGAUGAAAGCAAGCAAGCAGAUAAUCUUUUCUGGAGGUGAUUCUGUAUUUUUUUUUUCUUUCACUAGGAAUAAUUUCCUGGGGUGUGGUGUCCAGUUGUGUGCACACAGUUUAUGUCAGCAAUGGGGAACACAGGUACUUUGGUGAGCAUUUCCUCUGGUGAAGCUCUGAAUAAGCUCAGAUCUGACAGAUGUACCAGGUUUUGGCUCUGAGUCCAGUGAAGUAUUUCUAAGCAUGCUUAACUCCAGGCACAUGACUACUCCAGUUAACAUUUGUAAGACUUUCUACAGGCUUAAAGGGUAGAGGAAGGCGAAAUCUUACUUGGAGCCCAGAGGUCCCUUCCGCCCACUUUCAUCUCACCCACCCUCUAAGCUUCGUGUCAAAGCCGACCUCUUCCUGCUGGAGGAUGACUGGAUGCAAUUCCUUUCAGAGGCUGUCAGCGCUUCUCCUCUAACUGCCCUGUGGAGAUGCUGUUGAGUGACACGAAACACUUUUUCGCCUGGAUUAGCGAGACAUCUCUCCACACUGCCUAGCUUCCCCCUCUGCCUGCACCAGCUCUCUCCAUGUGGCCAAAGAGGCUUGCUUCGGUCUUCGAUAGCAAACCAGGAUUAAGUCACUUCUCCCAUGUUUGCUACUGACAGAGGAACUCCGUUAUUAGAGGAAACUUUCACUCUUCACACAGCCAAUUAACCCACUUUUGGAGCAAGUCUACUUCUUUUAUGCUUCUCCAUUUAUAUCCUGUGGAUGUAUAGGGAUUGUCCUGUGUUAUGCCAAGUCCCUAGUCCUUCCUUAUGAGUUCCUGCUCUGAUCACAGUUCAUUCAGUUGUUUUGUAGGAGGGAGAAGACAACAGUGGUUAGUCUGUCGCAGUAGAAACGCCAUGGCUGAUCUCUGGUGAUGGAAAACUUACAUUUUUCUGGGAAGGUAUCUGACAAAAUCUUGCUGAUCCUAGAAUCAGGAUUUUUAUCCUGGGUGUUCAUUUUGUCUCCCUGAGUAACAGCGUGAGGUGGACACAGAGUUGGUUUUUAGGCACUCUAGUGAGUCAUCAGACUAGCAUUUUCCUGGAGGGAAUCAGGAUAUUGGUACUAACUUUCCUCUCCCCUGUGCCACAGCUGGUGCGUUCUUAUCCCGUCCCUCACUCCAUUGUCCUCCUGACUUGUUUGUACUCUCCAUUUUUAUUUGGCUAUAUUGAGUUACUCAGGUGGGUCUUAGCUUUCAUUUGAGUACUUUACCCUUCUUCCUGGAGUUCCUAUGCCUUUUUUGAAUGAAUGCCUUGACUGUGCUUCUGUUAACUAAUGCUAAGUAAAGCGUGCCUGCCAGGUCUUUAAAGACCAAUUGUCUUGCCUUGCAUUUGAAUGUAUACUUCUCUCUUUGCCAAAAUACAGAUGCAAAUAUGCAUGAAAGAAUAAAUUUACUA